rnacentral:rRNA from 1 species
ACGGGUGAGUAACACGUAAGGAACCUGCCUCAAGGAUUGGGAUAACUCCGAGAAAUCGGAGCUAAUACCGGAUAGUUCAACGGACCGCAUGGUCCGCUGAUGAAAGGCGCUUCGGCGUCACCUUGAGAUGGCCUUGCGGUGCAUUAGCUAGUUGGUGGGGUAAUGGCCCACCAAGGCGACGAUGCAUAGCCGACCUGAGAGGGUGAUCGGCCACACUGGGACUGAGACACGGCCCAGACUCCUACGGGAGGCAGCAGUAGGGAAUCUUCCACAAUGGACGAAAGUCUGAUGGAGCAACGCCGCGUGAGUGAUGAAGGUUUUCGGAUCGUAAAACUCUGUUGUAAGGGAAGAACACGUACGAGAGGAAAUGCUCGUACCUUGACGGUACCUUACGAGAAAGCCACGGCUAACUACGUGCCAGCAGCCGCGGUAAUACGUAGGUGGCAAGCGUUGUCCGGAAUUAUUGGGCGUAAAGCGCGCGCAGGCGGCCUUUUAAGUCUGAUGUGAAAGCCCCCGGCUCAACCGGGGAGGGCCAUUGGAAACUGGAAGGCUUGAGUACAGAAGAGAA